rnacentral:rRNA from 1 species
GUCCUUGUCGUAAACGAUGUGUACUUGAUGUAGUUAGGCUCAACCCUGACUGUGUCGUAGCUAACGCGAUAAGUACACCGCCUGAGGAGUACGCUCGCAAGGGUGAAACUCAAAAGAAUUGACGGGGGGCCCGCACAAGCAGUGGAGCAUGUGGUUUAAUUCGAUGCAACGCGAAGAACCUUACCUGGGCUCGAAAUGCAUAGGGCGAUACCAGAAAUGGUAUUUUCCGCAAGGACUUAUGUAUAGGUGCUGCAUGGCUGUCGU